rnacentral:rRNA from 1 species
AAAGGGUCCGUAGGCGGUUUGAUAAGUCAGUGGUGAAAGCCCAUCGCUCAACGAUGGAACGGCCAUUGAUACUGUCAGACUUGAAUUAUUAGGAAGUAACUAGAAUAUGUAGUGUAGCGGUGAAAUGCUUAGAUAUUACAUGGAAUACCAAUUGCGAAGGCAGGUUACUACUAAUGGAUUGACGCUGAUGGACGAAAGCGUGGGGAGCGAACAGGAUUAGAUACCCGUGU